AUACGGAGGGUGCAAGCGUUAUUCGGAAUUAUUGGGCGUAAAGAGCGCGUAGGCGGCCUGUCAAGUCAGGUGUGAAAUCCCGGGGCUCAACCCCCGGAAGCGCAUUUGAUACUGUAGGGCUUGAGUAUGGGAGAGGGAAGUGGAAUUCCUGGUGUAGCGGUGAAAUGCGUAGAUAUCAGGAGGAACACCGGUGGCGAAGGCGGCUUCCUGGACCAAUACUGACGCUGAGGCGCGAAGGCGUGGGGAGC
rnacentral:rRNA from 1 species